GUAUGCUUAUUGUUAUUUUUAGUGUUUUGCCCCAAUGAGAUCUUAUGAAUUUACUUGUCUCAGUGUGCAGAAAGAACCAAAGGAUAGACUGUCAGCAAACGAACUAAUGGUGCACCCUUUCAUCACUAAGUAUGAAAAUCUUGAUAUUGAUCUUGCUUCGUACUUCAACAGUGCAUCAACAUCACCUGCCAUGAGUUGAGGAAUGUUUGAUUGAGCGAACUGUUAACCUAAUAAAAGGGGAUUGCCAACUGCUAUUUUUCAGUCUUUACUGUUGCUGAGCGGUGAGCCAUCAUGUGACACAUUCCUACA